rnacentral:rRNA from 1 species
ACAGCAGUAGCCACGGGAAUACAGAGGGUGCGAGCGUUAAUCGGAUUUACUGGGCGUAAAGCGUGCGUAGGCGGCUUCUUAAGUCGGAUGUGAAAUCCCUGAGCUUAACUUAGGAAUUGCAUUCGAUACUGGGAAGCUAGAGUAUGGGAGAGGAUGGUAGAAUUCCAGGUGUAGCGGUGAAAUGCGUAGAGAUCUGGAGGAAUACCGAUGGCGAAGGCAACCAUCUGGCCUAAUACUGACGCUGAGGUACGAAAGCAUGGGGAGCAAACAGGAUUAGAUACCCCUGUAGUCCCUGUCUCUUAUAC